rnacentral:lncRNA from 1 species
ACAGCAAAACCAACAGAAAUCAGAAUGGUCCAUACUUCCUUCAGGGAAGAGGAACAAUGUCCAUAAAAGAUUAAAAAAAUAAUAAAGAAGCAUGACUAUUUCUUCCAGCGUGGGUGACCCACAAGCUCACAUGGUCCUAAGUGCUUAGCAACUUGUAUUUCCUAAUCAAAUGAAGAACUGCUUUGAGUGCGCAAAGCAAUCCGCGGUGAAAAGAUUUUCCCUGAAUUCCUCAGUGGAAAGAAGAGGUGUUGAGAUUUUUCAGAUCUUGAAGGUAUGAAUUCAUUGCUGAAGAUAACACACACCUCUGGGAUUCAGGACUUGGGGGAAGUGAUCUGGAACUGACUGAAGGUCCCUCCCCAUGGAAAAGCUUCCAGAGUAAGGGAGGUCUCUUUUCCUCAUGGAUGCCCAAGCAUGCAUGCUCUCACUGAAUUACUGUUGAGCCACUUCUGGAGCUACUGUAGACAUUCAAGUGAUAUGGAUGACAUCUUUAGGGAAAAGGGAAAGCUGGUAUCUGCAGAAACAUUUGGGCCUUAUGUUGGAGACUUCCUUGGAAAAUGUGCAAGAUGUACAAAGGAUAUAACACUAAAUGCCUUAAGAAAGUUCUUAUUAAGCAAGUUGAUGAUCAUCCAAGAGAACUGCAUUCCCAUUUACUUU